rnacentral:lncRNA from 1 species
AUCUGGUCAGAAUAAAACCCAGGGAUUCCGGAAGGCAAUUUCCUGCCAUUUCGCCAGUGCCGAUUGCCACUACAUUGACGUGAAGGGCACCAGUCAAGAAAACAUCGAGAAGGAAGUUGUAGGAAUAGCACAUAAAUUCUUUGGAGCUGAAAAUAGCGUGAACUUGAAGGAUAUUUGGAUGUUUCGAGCUCGACUUGUGAAAGGAGAAAGAACCAAUCUUUGAAAUAGCCAUCUGCUAUAACUCUUUCAACAGAAAACCAAAACCAAACGAAAUGUCUAAGGAAAAUGUUUUCUUAAUGAGAUGAUGUAACCUUUUCUAUCACUUGUUAAAAGCAGAAAACAUGUAUCAGGUACUUAAUUGCAUAGAGUUAGUUUUGCAGCACAAUGGUGUUGCUUUAAUGGAAAAAAAAAACAGUAAAAGUGAAAUAUUACUGUUUUAAGGAAAACUAAUUUAGGGUGGCAGCCAAUAAAGGUGGUUGGUGUCUAAUUUAAGUGUUAAAUCAAUUUCUUUCAUUCAGUUAGCUCUUUACCCAAGAAGAAGUGAAUGAUUUGGAGCUUAGGGUAUGUUUUGUAUCCCCUUUCUGAUAAACCCAUUCCCUACCAAUUUUAUGUCAUAAGAGAUUUUUUUCCCCCAAAUCUAGAACAAUGUAUAAUACAUUCACAUCUAGUCAAGGGCAUAGGAACGGUGUCAUGGAGUCCAAAUAAAGUGGAUAUUCCUG